AGGCAGCCGGCGGCAAAGCGGCCGCUGCGCCGGGGGAGCCCCGGGGCCCGCGGGUGCUGGAGGAGCAGGGCGCUGUGGCCGCCCCCGUGUGCCGCAGCUGAGGGGGCCGGUGACCGCUGCGGGGAGCCCGGCCCGUGUGGUCCAGGACUCUUCCCCCAGUGCUGAAGCGACUUGAUAAACGACAGGAUGGGCUGUGCUCAAAGGUAGUUCACCGAUGUGAACUCCAAAUGUGGCUGUUGGGUUGAAGAAACCCAACAGGGUCACGGUUGUGAGUGCAAGAGGAAAAAAACGCCGUGAUGGAGACAAUGGGGAAAAGAUGGAAACUCUCACAACCUUUUUUUGUAUUAGGUCGGUGCAAAAGUAAUUGCGGUUUUUGCACUGUUGAAAUUUGCCAUUUGCUAUUAGAUCCAUUCUUAAAUAAAUAUAUACAUAAUUUUUUUGCUAAUGACUUAUUACUUGCCGUUAAUUUCAUAUUUAUUUUAGACUAUGGAAAUGAUUUAGCUAAAAAAGCAAAUGCGAGUAAUUUUCUUAUUCGAGUUCAAAGUGGGUGGUAAAGCAGCGAAGACAACAUUCAAUAUCAAAAACCCACUUGGGUCAUGAACUGCUAACGAACUACAGUGCGGGGGUGGUUCGAGAAGUUUCACAAAGGAGACAAGAGCUUUGAAGAUGAGGAGCGUAGUGGCCGCCAUCAGAAAGUGAUAACGACCAACUCUGAUCAAUCAUCGAAGCUGGUCCUCUCACAACUACACCACAAGUUGCUUAAGAGCUCAGUGUUGACCAUUCUACUGUUGUUGGGCAUUUGAAGCAAAUUGGAAAGGUGAAACAGCUCUAUACGUGCGUGCCUCAUGAGCUGACCAAAAAUGGAAAAAAUGGUCAUUUUGAAGUGUCAUUCUGCGCAACAACAAUGAACCGUUUCUUGAUUGGAUUGUGAUGUGUGAUGAAAAGUGGAUUUGAUACGACAACUAGCAAUGAGCAGCUCAGUGGUUGAACCAAGAAGAAUGUCCAAAGCACUUCCCAAAGCCAAGCUGCACUGAGAAAAAAAAGGUCAUGGUCACUGUUGGGUGCUCUGCUGCCGGUCUGAUCCCCUGCAGCUUUCUGAAUCCCGGUGAAAACGUUACAUCGGAGAAGUCUGCUCAGCAAAUCAAUGAGAUGCACCAAAAACUGCAACACCUGCAGCCGACAUCGGUCACCAGAAAGGGCCCAGUUCUUUUCCAUGACAACACCCGACCACACAUCGUGCAAACAACGCUUCAAAAGUUGAACGAAUUGGGUUAUGAAGUUUGCCUCAUCUGCUGUGUUCACCUGACCUCUCACCAACCGACUGCCACCUCUUCAAGCAUCUCAAUGGUUACAGUAUCACAGUAUGUUUGGGAUUGGAAGGGACCUCAAAAGAUCAUCCAGUCCAAUCCCCCUGCUGGAGCAGGAACGCCCAGGUGAGGUCGCACAGGAACAUGUCCAGGCGGGUUUUGAAUGUCUGCAGAGAAGGAGACUCCACAACCCCCGUGGGCAGCCUGGGCCAGUGCUCUGCCACCCUCACUGGGAAGAAGUUUUUUCUCAAAUUUAAGCGGAACCUUUUGUGUUCCAGCUUGAUCCCAUUACCCCUUGUCCUAUCAUUGUUUGCCACCGAGAAGAGCCUGGCUCCAUCCUCAUGGCACUCACCCUUUAUAUAUUUAUAAACAUUAAUGAGGUUCCCCCCUUAGUCUCCUCUUCUCCAAACUAAAGAGACUCAGCUCCCUCAGCCUUUCUUCAUAAGGGAGAUGCUCCACUCCCUUAAUCAUCUUGGUUGCCCUACGCUGGACCCUCUCCAACAGUUCCCUGUCCUGCUGGAACUGAGGGGCCCAGAACUGGACACAAUAUUCCAGAUGUGGUCUCACCAGGGCGGAGUAGAGGGGAAGGAGAACCUCUCUCGAUCUACUAGCCACCCCCCUUCUAAUACACCCCAGGAUGCCAUUGGCCUUCCUGGCCACAAGGGCCCAGUGCUGGCUCAUGGUCAUCCUGUUGUCCACCAGGACCCCCAGGUCCCUUUCCUCUACACUGCUCUCUAAUAUGUAAUUUCCCAACCUAUACUGGAACCUGGGGUUGUUCCUGCCCAGAUGCAGGACUCUACACUUUCCCUUGUUAAAUUUCAUUAGGUUAUUCCCCGCCCAACUCUCCAGCCUGUCCAGGUCCCGCUGGAUGGCAGCACAGCCUCUGGCGUGUCAGCCACCCCUCCCAGCUUGGUGUCAUCAGCAAACUUGCUGAUAGUACUUGCUGAUAGUUUACAGGGAAAACACUUCCACAACCAGCAGGAUGCCAAAAAUGCUUUCCAAAAGUUCAUUGAGUCCCAAGGCAUGGGUUUUUAUGCUACAGGAAUAAACAAACUUAUUUCUCGUUGGCAAAUCUGUAUUGAUUGUAAUGGUUCCUAUUUUGUUUAAUAAAGAUGUGUUUGAGCCUAGUUAUAAUGAUUUAAAGUUCAUGGUCAAAAACCGCAAUUACUUUUGCACCAACCUAAUAUUAACUUGCUGCAGAAAUCAUUCAGUGACAGAAAAGAGAAGGAUUGCAUGAAGUAGUUGUAAAAUUUGUAUAGAAGCUACCCAGUUAAAACAGAAAUUGUUAAACUGAAAGCUUAAAAAGCAGAAACGUGUUCAGUAGCAAUAGCAGGUUGAUGUGUGUGAGUGAGGCUUUUGCUUUGAGCUCUCCCAGGCUCCUGCAGCGCGUGACUGGGAUGGCUCGGGAUGAGCUGCUGCUACUUGCUGGGUCAUGUCAGGGAGAAUUUGGGGAGCUGGAAGAGGUUAAGCCCAGUUAAAAUGGUAAAAAUGAUGAAGAGAGUGACAGAGAAGUGGUGUGAGGUGUAGUAAAAACCCCACAACUGCCAUGCAGCAAUAAAGUCUAAGAGAAGAAAGUAGAUUAACUCUAGACAAAAAAAUAGUGGAAAAAAGUUUAUAUACUUAUUAUAUAAAGAUUACAGGUAAGCAAUUAAAAAAAUCUUUUUCAUAUAUAAUUUUUUGGAGAGUGUAAUUUUAAAAUCAAGAACAUUCACCUUUCAGCUCAACACAGACACACAACCUCUGAGGGAGCAACACAGCCCUGACAAAGGCACCGGCCAGACAUCGAUGCAGCUUUUGCUGAAAUGCUGAGAAAACUAAACUGCUGUAGAAAUUUUGCCCAAAUUCUGAGCAAAGGAGAGGGCUCAGUUACAGACUCACCGUCUUCACCCUCUCAACACAAACACAAUUGGAGGUGUUAAACUAUUCAGACUGGGACCUGCGCGGUGCUACUUGUAAACAGAGGUGACAAAUUCUCCUGUAGUGUAAAACAAUACAGCGCAACACUGUUUGCAUCAUGAGUUUAGUGCCCAUUGUUAAUGUCAUCUGAACCCAGUUUUGAAAAAGAAUGCUAUGGAACUAGUGGGAAAAAAGAGCCCUAAGUAUUUUAAAAAUCAGAGUAUUUGAGAUUAUUUUAACUAAUACUAAUGUAUCUCAGAGACAGCCUGCUUACAAUCCAAUGUCUUAUGGCUUUUUAAAAAUAACAUCUCUAACUGUCCUAUCAAGGAAGCCAAUGUUCUGGGAAGGGACUCAAUAAGUAUCUUAAGUUUCAGAGAGAACAGGUAAUUAAAUUAUUUAUUCCAGCUGAAAGGUUGUACCAUGGCAGGAUAUCCAUUAAAUAGAUGUGUACGAAGAAUGAGGGAGGUGCCUGUAGAUUAUGAAAAAUAAUGCUAAAAGUAUCUAAAAUCUCUGGCUGUUUGGGGUAAAUGCCUAAAACCCGGCUGUCUCCUCAAUACGCACUUUUAAAAUAAAAGGGCAUGUAGUUGCCUCACGUGAAUGAAAAUGUGAGGUAAGUUUUGCUCUUGAGGAGUGAUUGCACAUUACAAAGAGGUACAUCAGGUAUCUCAGGAUACACGCAAAAGGCAUCGAUUUCUGUUCAACGUGUUAGCAAAGUAAAAGGAAACCACCCUGUAGCGGCACUAAGACCUAAAUCCAGACAAGCCGUGUUUGUUUGCCUUGUUCAUGAGCAAACCAUGACAUUCAUCCAAAAGCAAGUGCAGUCCACUCUUUAAAAGUUCUUUGGAAAAAAAGUCCAAAAACUGGUAAUUUUCUGGCAUGGAACAAGUGCAAAAAAAAAACAAAAAACCAAAAAAAAACAACAAAGACAUUUGCCAGCUGUGUGAAAGCAAUACACACGCUUGCAGGUUGUGCUGUCUCCAGCAAUGAGGGUUUGGGGACGUACCCACCCUGCUUUUUUGUGAAUGCAGAUGCCUCCUGGAGGCAGCAGCUGCCAGUGGCACUGGGCUCACCCACACCUUCUGCAAACCAGCGCUCCCAGCACUCAGCUGGAGGCAGAGUGGCAUUGAGACUUCUCCAGUUCUAUAAAAAUAAAUGUAGACUUGUUCUUCUGUGUAAUACUGGCACGAAGGAAUAUGUUUUCUCACAAAAAGAGUUGGCUUGUAUGCUGUUCUUAAGACAAAUGUUGCAGUCCUGUUUUCCCCUCAAACUGAGGCUCUCACCUUCCUAGGCUAAUGUGCAAAACAAUGACAAAAAAAAUUCCAGUCCAUAUUGUCCUGUAAAUCCGUGUCUGUCAGUCUGUAACUGGUACGAGGGAGGAGAGACACAUCUCUGGCUGUAGGUCUUUGCCUUUCAGCCUCAAAUGUUUUCAGAGUUGAAUACUGAUACAUUCAUCUGCUGUAAUACUGGAUGGCAGCAAAGUUCUCAUCGCUCUCCCCCCUGGGCCUGUGGCUCCCUCACAGUGGGACUUUGCUGAGCCUGUUGCUCCAGCACCCCCGUUUUGCAGUUCUGGGGAGUGUCAGGCUGCCCAGGCUCCUCCUCUGCACCUGCCCCAUGGCUGAAGCUUUUCUCCUCAGGAUGAAAUCGAAGUUGGCCUGGGUGUUCAUGGCGUAGAACACGUUCGCCUUGUCUGGGAUCACCAGCUCUGCAAGAGAGGGAGCAGAGCAAGCAUUAAUUUGCGCACCAGUUAGCGAGGGCUUUAUUCUCCCUGGCAGCUGUGACAACAUGUCAAUGGUGUUUCUAACACUGCUUCACAUUUUACUCUUUCCUUCAAAAUGCAGCAGAACUGUUCAAGCAGCAGCAGCAGAGUUCUGCUUCCCCACCUUUGUCCUCAGAGAUGAUCUGUACCAGCUCGUAAUCCUCAGCUGAGCCAGACUGCAGGUUGUGCUUCUCCAUGGCUCUCUGGAUGACAGCAGGAGCCUUCUCUUGGUUAGUUAUCUGGGAAGAGAGAGUUGCAAUGAGAGGUUCUGCUUUAUUCACUCUAUAAUGAUUUAAUAAUUAGCAAAGGCCUGUCUUUCUGCAGACUGUUUGGUCUUGGAAAAGACUGCCGAGAACUGAAAAAUUACAAUGGGUCACUAACUGCGUAGUAGAUUCUGCCAGAUACUAAAAUGUGCUCUUUGUGACAUGCGGUGGUUGAUUUAGUUCAAGACAACAGACACUGUUCUAGAAACACAGUAGUAAACCACAGUCUCUGCUCUCCUGAGCAACCACUUGGAGAAGUGAGACCUUGUUCUCAGCAGCCAUCAAAUCCACAGCAACAGCUGCCCCAGCUGCUGUUUGCAGACAUCCAUUAAUCCACAGUCUCCUGUGCUAAAUACUUUCUUUGAUGUCCUGCAAAGAGUUUUGGCCUUGUAGCUGGGUUUGCUCUCUUGCUGGGAAAGUGCUGUGCAUGCGGAGCAGACACGGGGCUCCCUCCAGAGCCUUGGGCACUCAGAACAAUUAUUUUUCUCACCAGCAGCCAAAGCUGUCAGGCUGUAGGGCCUGCUGUUUACACUUGGUGAGCUGGUCAGAUCCGCACCCCAAACCCCACGCAUUAGGGGAGCCCCAAAUUUGACAGGGUAUGGAAUCAUAAUAUGGUUUAGGUUGGAAGGUCUCUUCAAAACUCAUCCAGUGCCACCCCUGCCAUGAGCAGGGACAUCUUCACCACCUCAGGUUGCUCAGAGCCCCGUCCAGCCUGGCCUGGGAUGUCUCCAAGGAAUGAAUGACUUGUGGCAUAAAGUCCUGGAGUUUGGGGUACCCCAACAAGUGCUACAUGGCAUGCCUACUUAAUAAUCUCCAAAUACUGGGGUUUUUCGACUGGACGAUUUCCUCAGAUGGAGGAAAUUGUCCAGUCGAAAAACCCUGAUUCUAAAGAAACUGCACCCCGUGCCAGAACUCAGUCUAAUUGACUUGGCAGAAUCCCAGCAAAAAACCUUUCUUCCCACCCUGCGUGGCAGAUACUGGCAGUUCAGUGGGUCUCUGAUAAAUGCUCCGAACCUGCCAUUGCAGUUCUUAUUGCACCCCAAAAGGUUUUAGCAGACUUUCUUAUUGAUACCAGAGCCCAAAUGUCAGUAAUUUCUAAAAAGACAGUGGAAACUCUUGGUGUAAUACGUAGUAGGCAAGGAGUUAAAUACACGGGAAUCAGCAGAGAAAUAAAAGAAUGCCCUACUGUAAAGACAAUGCUGAAGUGCUGGUUGGUGCCACUGAAACUAACAUUCUAUAAAUUGAUUUAUUAUGUGGACAAACGUGGAAAUUCCCUGACGGAACUCUAGGGAGUUUUGCAGGGAAUGAGGAGCAGCUGCACAUAGUGAAACUGAACUUAUCAGAAACAUCUAUGCCCUUACCCCCUCUGAAAUCACCACUGUUCAGCAAUAUCCCUUGCUGGCAGUGGCACUUACAGGCAUUGACAGGAGAGGCACUAUUAGAAUCAUAGAAUCAUUUUGGUUGGAAGAGAUCUUCAGGAUCAUCAAGUCCAACUAUAACCAAACUCCAGCACUAAACCAUGUCCCUAAGAACCUCAUCUAAACGCUUUUUAAGCCCCUCCAGGGCAGCCUGUUCCACUGCUUCACAACCCUUUCUGUGAAGAGUUUUUUUACUAAUAUCCAAUCUAAACCUCCCCUGGCACAACUUGAGGCCAUGUCCUCUCAUCCUAUUGCUUGUUCCUUGGGAGCAGAGCCUGACCCCCCCCCGGCUCCAAGCUCCUUUCAGGCAGUUCAGAGAUCAGAAGGUCUCCCUUCAGCUCCUGUUCUCCAGCUGAACCCCCCAGGUCCCUCAGCUGCUCCCAUCACACUUGUGCUCCAGCCCCUCACCAGCUUUGUCACCCUCCUCUGCACUCUCUCUCCAGGAGCAGGAUAAAGCACAUAAAAUGAAAGAUUUCUGCACGUUCGCUACUUCAGUUACCCCAAAGGUUCACACUAAGCUGGUAGAAUACCUGAUGGGAUUUUACACCAGGCAACCAGUACUGGUGAAAAUGCCCCAGAUUGGAACAGGACCAGUGGUACUAACACCACCCAAAAAUCCCUGUGCAUGGAAAACUAAAGAUUGUUCAGGGAAAAUACACCGAUCAGCACCCAGUGGAUCACACCCUCUUUCUAAAUAAUCCUGCCAGUUGUAUGCCCAACAGAGCAUACCUUCUUUUUGUAUUCACAGGAAUCCUGAAGGAACUGCUGAUAUCAACCUCAAAUGCAUCUAGAUCUCCAGACACCUAUCUAGAUCCCCUAAAUUUCGAGGUGAUAAACCAACAAAUUGGAUUCGUGGCAUUAUUUUUUACCUUAACCAUCUGGUUUCCCUUGAUUGGCAGCCAAAGGGAACCAGAAUGGCUAUGGUCCCACACUCAUGUUGCCUACAAUGGAAGUACAGGACUACCUUCCAUUAGUGGAAAUUUGAACUUGGCUACCAUGGUCAUACACAGAGCCUACACACACUUAGAAAAUGAGUGGGGUUGGGACAGGAAAACGUUGAUUCCCCUUUUGAAGAGAAUACCUGAAGAAGAAACUCCAAUAGGAUGUAGAAUGAUCAACAGAACUACAAACAAAAAAGUGUUCAUGGUAGUAUUCAACAGUACCUCGCUCUCAAUGUCAAGAAUAACAAAGCCUUGCACCUCUGAGAGGUCAGAUUGUUGGCUAAAUUUUACCCUGAUGGAACCCACUUCUGUAACGUGCCUUUGGCAACAAAAACAGGCGUCCAUCCAUCAUAGGCCUAACACUUAGCUUUAAACCUGACCUAAAUACACCCGCUCCAUGGUUGCCAAAGGAUGGACAGGUAUCAGAAAAACAGACCCACACGACCCUUCCAAGAAACUAUUUGAUACAUUUAACCAAACUGAUGGGAAGUUGAUUCACAUGAAUUAUAAAGAGUCAGGAGAACCUUUCCAGAAAGUGUUUCUGUGUGCUGUGAAACAAAUCAGGUACCUGAAUCACUUACAAUAGUCUAGGUCAGCAAUGAGACUGAAGUUUAAUGUCUCCACAAUGCCAGUUGCUGCUCAACAACUGACAUCAGUCAGUAUGUAGUUAAUGAGAUGACAAGCCUCAAAUUAAUAAGCGUUAACAAUGAACUUCAUGUGUGUGAAAACUGAUCCUGUACCAUCCACCACAGUAAUCCCCACUUCAACUCCACUAAGGAAAAAGAGGUUGAUGCCACAACUACCCAAAAUUGGACCAUAUGUAGUAAAAAAUACAAGGCAGCAGCAGAUGCUGUGUAAUCCAUCACAGUCCCUCAAACAGGAAUCAAUGCAAAUUAACAUCUCCACAAUUAAACAUACCUGCUCACCAUUCCUGAGCACAUCUUGGACGGGAUGGUCAGCAUGGCUGUGUGCAUGAACCCUCACCUCUCUUGAAUGACCAAGGAGAGAUGUGAGCAGUGUCUCAGGACAGGACUGGGAGUCUUAAACAGUAUAGAUGCUGAAGUACUUGGAAACAGUGUAGUCACAGUGACUAGUGACCAAAAUAAAUUGAAUUACCUACUACGGUCUUGUAGCAUUGGGAACCAACCAAUGUUUAUCUGGUAAACUACCUCAGUAGGAAACAACUGACGAAAAGGAUCACCAGUUGAUUGUAAAUGCACUUGAAGUAGCCUAGAGUAAUGUUUCUUUAGCUCUUAAUUGUAUCCAGGCUCAAUUGUGGAUACAAUCAAUGAUGACCACCAUCAUAAAGGAAGGUGAAGAAGGCACCCUACUCACUGAAAUUUGGAAGGUGAUUUGGGAUAACACAACUGAAUUCAAGAAGAAAUUCAAUCCUGGUGGCAUUUGGUCAGUUUUUCCUACAACUCCAUCAAGAGCACUGUCACAGCAUUCGUCCGAACCAUAUACAAUGCUUUGGUACGUACCAUAUACCAAAUCAUUGUGUUAGGAUUGAAUCUCAAUGGAGUGAUACUUUUAUCUGAUGGAGCAGAGUAUUGGCGCAACAAAAAGGAAACGAUGGCAAACCAUUGCUGUUGAUGCAUGCAUUGUGCAACAACAACAAGGAUUCAUCUGUGAAAGGCACACCAUCAAAACUCAAGACAUUUGUCUUGACACAGAGCAAAACAUUCGCCACUUCAUGGUACAUCCUCACAAAAAUCCUGAAACCGUGCUUGUACAUACUGGAAAAGGACGUGCAUGUAUGAGAACUGUCUGUGAUUCCAUACUUGCAGACAACAUUACAGUAGCUACCAAUAAUCAUUCUAAUAUUUGUAAUUUUACUGAAAGCAUACCACGUGAUUUUAGUUAUGCAGCUCCUGUCACAACUCAGCUGCUGCAAUCUGACUACGAGCUCAUCCACAAUCUGCCUACCCCCAUGGGAAUGGAUCUCACCCUGCUGAAGAAACUCCUCCGGCAUGAUGAUUUACAUUGAUUGCUGUGACAUGUCAAAGAGAAUGGACAAAAAACUUUGAUUCUUUCCAUCAUGAUGCAGAAGAAAAACACCACGUGCUAGGACCAGUGAUGAAGGACUGAGAACACAGCUGGUGGGACACUUUUCGGAUGGUCACCAACUGCUACCGGACUCUUUAACAAAAUGCCACAUCCUAUCGUUGUCCUAUCAAUACUCACUUUGUUGUGUCUUGUUUUAAUAAUAGCGCUAUAUGUUAGAAUUUGGCUUGUGACAAAACAUCUAGCCUAUCUGAUACCUCCACAAGAUGUAGAUGUACCUGAUAAUCCGCACAAUAAGCACACAUCUGACAUCCCCAAUCCCAUCUAAAUAUUGUGAAGCUUGAGUGAGUAUGGUCACGGGGUAGAUUACGUGGAAUAUUUACUGAGGCAGCAAAUUAUUGAAACUAAUUAUCAAAGGCACACUUAUUGAGAGUAAAGUUGCAUCCACAUUCUCAGCACAUACAGCAGCUGCUCAGCACACAAGGAAUCUGCUCUGCAAUGGUUCUGCAAUGCCCCCCAGCCUGGCCUGCAUCCUUAGAUGUUCGCACAUGGGGAGCUCAGUGUGCGGGCGCCGAGGAGAACGGAGGGUGGAGCGGUGUGGAGAUACCGCGGCCAGGCUCUGUGCACACGGCAGGUACAGAACUAGAUGGUGCUGUGCACGUAGUUGCUGUUAAGAGAGAAUAUUCCAUCCAAAAUGCUGGCUGCUGAGCUAGCAGUUGUGCCAAAUCUGUCCUGUGGAUGAACUUUGCUCAUUAUUAUCUCAUAACACCAAAACACACCUCCAUCCCAAAAGCUACCUGCAUCCAUUCUCGCUUAAGCAUGCUCUGAAUUCUUCUAAGUCUAUAUCUUUAAAACUGAGAGAAUUCUACAAAAACAAAGGUAUGUAUGACCAGAGUCACUCAAGUUCUACCUAAACAUAGAAAACAGUAUAAAAUACACUAAUGAUGGGAAAGUUCGGGGAGAUGCCAUCACUGAGAAGUCCAGGAGAUGGCAUUGCAGACUUUUGGGUCCAUUAACAGGCUAAACCUCUCCUCUCCACCCACAAGGACGCCUUUGGGUAACAUCUGCUCACUUGGUUACACCAAGUGUUUCCCCAAGAAACUUAGAAACUGAGCUUGUAUUUGUAACCACAUCAGUAACACUAUAUAGUCACCUUAGAAUAUAUGUAUAUUUGGUACCAAAGUGUAUUUUUGUAACCAAAGUGUAUUUUUGCAGACAGUGUAUUUUAUCACCAGCAAUCUAAAAGAACUUGUACCUGUUGCUUCAAUAAAUCUCAUUAUUUUUGAAUCUAA